CGGAAGUGUUAUUGUAGCCAUUUCGACCGUGCCACAACGAUGCCGACAGCUCUCUUUGCCACCCCUACAACGUGCUUGUUCAAGCAGCUCCUUUUCUUUCAGGUUUUGUGCUUAGAAAGAGUGACAUGAUGCAGGAUGGAGUUGCGAGGAGUUCCCGGACACGGUCAGAGAUGGCUGGAACAGUCGGAUGGAUUUGCAAUCAUGCAAUAAAUGCCCACAUAAGACGCCAUGGUCAAAUGGUUGGAGAUCGUUGAGAGUUUGCAGCUAUUGAUGAAAGUUGUUUCCUUAAUAAAAGCAAGUAUCACCACAGAAGGGCCGGUGCAACAUGGCGACGGAAAAAGUGGGUAUUAAGAAUAUUAGGAGUAGGUGACCGCCAGAAACAUCCUGUCUUGUGGCUGGUGUGGUUAAACAAGUGCGUCCGGGAACCACCGUCAUCAGUGACCAAUGGGGCACUUACAGGAGUGCAUUGACUGCGACAGGCUACAGGCACUUCACAGUGAACCACUGUCAGUAGUUUGCGGAUCCAAACACCUUGCGCGCCUCCCAGUAUGUCAACCCCAGCUUUCUCUGUGGACCAUGCAACUUGGACUUUCCGAGUUUCAUAUAGGACAAUGCAUCUUGCUCUGCAUCUGUAAACCAUGGAUUCAUCUUUUGGACAUUUUCAGGAGAAUGUG